rnacentral:snRNA from 2 species
ACACGAGUUUGAGUUGGCCGCGCAGCUUCCACUGGCGGUCGAUAUAGAAAUGUGUGCACA